rnacentral:piRNA from 1 species
CUAGACUGAGGCUCCUUGAGGU